UAAACCCCUUACUGAGUUGGUGUCA
rnacentral:siRNA from 1 species